AGCAGCCAUCAUUUAAAGAAAGCGUAACAGCUCACUGGUCAAGCGCUCUUGCGCCGAAAAUGUACCGGGGCUAAAGCCAUACACCGAAGCUGCGGAUGCACAUUUAUGUGCGUGGUAGCGGAGCGUUCUGUAAGCCUGUGAAGGGUGACCCGCGAGGGCACUUGGAGGUAUCAGAAGUGAGAAUGCUGACAUGAGUAGCGAUAAAGAGGGUGAGAGACCCUCUCGCCGAAAGACCAAGGGUUCCUGCGUAAAGCUAAUCUGCGCAGGGUUAGUCGGCCCCUAAGGCGAGGGCGAAAGCCGUAGUCGAUGGGAACAGGGUUAAUAUUCCCUGACCUGUGGGUGGUGACGAAUGGUGUAAGUUGUUCGGGCUUAUUGGAUUGUCCGGGCAGCGAAACUGUUCCAGGAAAUAACCCCCACGUGAGACCGUACCCGAAACCGACACAGGUGG
rnacentral:rRNA from 1 species